GUAUUAUCGUGAGUUCCCUUCAAGCACUUCACGUGACACUAUUUCAAUGUCUAUCAUGUGAAGUGUUUGGGGGAACUCUUGGUAUCGC
rfam:Oryza glaberrima chromosome 4 Oglab04_0315_1, whole genome shotgun sequence.